AUUGAUCAUGGCUCAGAUUGAACCGCUGGCGGCAGGCCUAACACAUGCAAGUCGAGCGGAUGACGGGAGCUUGCUCCUUGAUUCAGCGGCGGACGGGUGAGUAAUGCCUAGGAAUCUGCCUGGUAGUGGGGGACAACGUUUCGAAAGGAACGCUAAUACCGCAUACGUCCUACGGGAGAAAGCAGGGGACCUUCGGGCCUUGCGCUAUCAGAUGAGCCUAGGUCGGAUUAGCUAGUUGGUGAGGUAAUGGCUCACCAAGGCGACGAUCCGUAACUGGUCUGAGAGGAUGAUCAGUCACACUGGAACUGAGACACGGUCCAGACUCCUACGGGAGUGCAGCAGUGGAGGAAUAUUGGA
rnacentral:rRNA from 1 species